UAGGAAAAGAAGUUACACUGCUCUGCACAUUAUCUGAACCUGGUUUCAAUUGCGAUGUUGACAUGGAACCAUUCAUUGGUUUCGGAGAACGACCACCCGGUUGCACUGUUGCAUGCAUUUCUACUCGCGUCUUAUUUAAUAAUUGACCUACUUCUUCUUGUAACUCUUUGAUGUAAUCUUGAUCAGUUAACCACCAUAAACACUCGUUUGAAAUAUCAUAAACACGCCGGCAGAUAAAUGAGGAUAUCCCUGUUGGAAGUUCAGCUCCUUUAGAAAGGAAUGCAACUUUACACGGAUGCAGUAGUGAUGCAGCAGGUGUCUCAUCCCUAUGAAAGGAAUAAAAGAUUUCGUUGGG
rnacentral:misc_RNA from 1 species